rnacentral:rRNA from 1 species
AGGACGAACGCUGGCGGCGUGCUUAACACAUGCAAGUCAAGGGGGCCCAGUAGCAAUACUGGGCAACCGGCGAACGGGUGCGUAACACGUGAGCAACCUACCGAAAUGUGGGGGAUAGCCGGCCUAACGGCCGAGUAAUACCGCAUACGCUCUCGAUGAGGCAUUUCAUUGAGAGGAAACCUCGGGACAUUUCGAGGGGCUCGCGGCCUAUCAGCUAGUUGGCGAGGUAACGGCUCACCAAGGCAACGACGGGUAGCUGGUCUGAGAGGAUGGCCAGCCACAUUGGGACUGAGAUACGGCCCAGGACUCCGUACGGGAGGCAGCGAGGUGGGAAUCUUGCGCAAUGGCCUAACGGCUGACGCAGCGACGCCGCGUGUAGGAUGGAAGCUCGUUACGGAGUUAGUAACUCUGUUGCCCGGUAAUAAGUGCUACGAUUAAUCG